rnacentral:rRNA from 1 species
GAGAGCUAGCAAUCCCAUAAACCGUGGCUCAGUUCAGAUCGUAGGCUGCAACUCGCCUACGUGAAGUAGGAAUCGCUAGUAAUCGCAGGUCAGCAUACUGCGGUGAAUACGUUCCCGGGCCUUGUACACACCGCCCGUCACACCAUGGAAGUUGGCCAUGCCCGAAGUCGUUACUCCAACCCUUGUGGAGGAGGACGCCGAAGGUGAGGCUAAUGACUGGGGUGAAGUCGUAACAAGGUAGCCGUACCGGAAGGUGCGGCUGGAUCACCUCCUAA